CCUACGGGGGGCAGCAGUGAGGAAUAUUGGUCAAUGGCCGGAAGGCUGAACCAGCCAUGCCGCGUGAAGGUCAGUGCCCUAUGGGCGUUAAACUUCUUUUGUGCGGGAGCAAUAAUGGUCACGUGUGGCCAGACGAGAGUACCGUACGAAUAAGCAUCGGCUAACUCCGUGCCAGCAGCCGCGGUAAUACGGGGGAUGCAGGCGUUAUCCAGAUUUGUUGGGUUUAAAGGGUGCGUAGGCUGUGAGGGAAGUAAGCGGUGAAAUGCCCCCGCUCAAAGGGGGGAAGUGCCAUUGAUACUGCCUGGCUGGAAUGCGGAUGCGGGGGGAGGAAUGUGUGGUGUAGCGGUGAAAUGCAUAGAUAU
rnacentral:rRNA from 1 species